rnacentral:rRNA from 1 species
GGCAACCUGGCGGCGAGUGGCGAACGGGUGAGUAAUAUAUCGGAACGUACCCUGGAGUGGGGGAUAACGUAGCGAAAGUUACGCUAAUACCGCAUACGAUCUAAGGAUGAAAGUGGGGGAUCGCAAGACCUCAUGCUCCUGGAGCGGCCGAUAUCUGAUUAGCUAGUUGGUGAGGUAAAGGCUCACCAAGGCGACGAUCAGUAGCUGGUCUGAGAGGACGAUCAGCCACACUGGAACUGAGACACGGUCCAGACUCCUACGGGAGGCAGCAGUGGGGAAUUUUGGACAAUGGGCGCAAGCCUGAUCCAGCAAUGCCGCGUGAGUGAAGAAGGCCUUCGGGUUGUAAAGCUCUUUUGUCAGGGAAGAAACGGUAGGAGCUAAUAUCUCCUGCUAAUGACGGUACCUGAAGAAUAAGC